rnacentral:rRNA from 1 species
UGGAUUCCUGAUUGACUGAGCGGCGGACGGGUGAGUAACGCGUGGGUAACCUGCCUCAUACAGGGGGACAACAGUUGGAAACGACUGCUAAUACCGCAUAACACAUAGGUGUCGCAUGGCACUUAUGUCAAAGAUUUUAUCGCUGAAAGAUGGCCUCGCGUCUGAUUAGAUAGUUGGUGGGGUAACGGCCUACCAAGUCUACGAUCAGUAGCCGGACUGAGAGGUUGAACGGCCACAUUGGGACUGAGAUACGGCCCAGACUCC